GACAGAGGGUGCAAACGUUGCUCGGAAUCACUGGGCGUAAAGGGCGUGUAGGCGGGAAGGAAAGUCAGAUGUGAAAUCCCCAGGCUCAACCUGGGAACUGCAUUUGAAACUCCCUUUCUUGAGUACCGGAGAGGAAAGUGGAAUUCCUGGUGUAGAGGUGAAAUUCGUAGAUAUCAGGAGGAACACCAGUGGCGAAGGCGGCUUUCUGGACGGUAACUGGACGCUGGAGAACGCGGAAAGCGUGGGGAGCAAACAGG
rnacentral:rRNA from 1 species